rnacentral:misc_RNA from 1 species
GAUGAAGAACGUAGCGAAAUGCGAUAAGUAAUGUGAAUUGCAGAAUUCAGUGAAUCAUCGAAUCUUUGAACGCACAUUGCGCCCCCUGGUAUUCCGGGGGGCAUGCCUGUUCGAGCGUCAUUUCACCACUCAAGCCUCGCUUGGUAUUGGGCAACGCGGUCCGCCGCGUGCCUCAAAUCGACCGGCUGGGUCUUCUGUCCCCUAAGCGUUGUGGAAACUUUCGCUAAAGGGUGUUCGGGAGGCUACGCCGUAAAACAACCCCAUUUCUAAGGUUGACCUCGCAUCAGGUAGGGAUACCCGCUGAACUUAAGCAUAUCAAUAAGCGGAGGA